AAGCCCAGAGCAUAUGACGGGCUUCAGGACCCCUUUACUGGAAGCUCAUCAGAAGCAGACCCUAUGACCUCUGGCCUUGACAAUCAACUGAACCACAUUUGUCCUUGGCACAAUGGAGAGAGAACUGGAAUCAAGAGAGAAGAUGAUGACAGAGUGAGAGUGAGCCACGAGAGAAUCUGACUCCAGGCCACACGGACAUUCCCGGCUAUGAACAAGAGCUCAGAUUUGGUGCUGACAUAGUUAACUCACUUUGGCAUCCCAAGGAUCCUGAAAGCUGUGUAUCCGAGAUCACCAACCAGAGAGCCAGCCUGAGAUAUGAAAGCCCCUGGGGGAGGCGGACUCUCCCUAGGACUGACCCAGAGAAGCUGAUUUAAGUGAUUUUUCUGGGAUUCCAGUGGGUGGCUAAAAGAGGCCAGUUGACUUCUGGUGACAUUCUGUGAUCCUGCCUGACUAUGUGGACCUGGGGGUAAGGUGGGGAUGGGAAAGGAAGUAUUGAUGUUUCAACAUGGCCAAGAACUUCAGCUCAGCUAAACUUUGGAAAAGUGAAGAAACCAAAGGUUUAUGGGUUACCCGGGCUCUCAUGUCUGCCUAUUCCAUAUCUUUUCCUUUUUCUCUUUGAUUACUUAUUUGAGGGGUUGUGGGUGGGAGGCGAAGAGAUACAGUCAGAGAUAGACUGAAAUCGGCCAUCAUGGGGAAGUCUCCCUCCAGGGACACUCCCAUCAGCUCCCUCUGUCCCAACUGACCAUUUGGCUCCCAAACUUCAGGAUGUGCAGACCAAGGAGGCAGAAGGAUAUCUGGGGGCAGGACCUGUAGACGAUGCUGGUUUCUUACCACUUUGCCAGCCAGUGCAGGGCCUUGGGAGCUUGGCAAGGCUGCUCGCCAGAACAUGGUGAGGAGGGAGGUCGACUCCUCCAGCCGCUGGUGCAGAGUGUUGGUGCUGCUCAGGAGCUCAUGGACACCUUUGCUGCCCAUCUCCUGGGAAAAGGGGGAGGUAGCCAUGGGUAUCCCUGGGGCUGAGAAAUCACUUCUUUUUUCCUGAGCAUAAGCCUCAGCUUCUUUUGUGAGUGAGGCGCAGACGUGGUCUACUUGACCCUGUGAAAUCCGUUUUUUAGCCCAGAAAGUGAGCUACUCUGAUCUCAGCAGGAACCUCCUAUGGCAGGAAUUCAUUUGAUUCCAGCUUCCCCCAUACUCUUUAACUUCUAGCCCUGCUUUGUGCUUUAGAAUCUGAGGUCCUUAGUUUUUGCACUGGCCCCAUCUUGCCCUUCCCUAAAUCACAGCUUAUGCAUCAGAUGAGCUGCACUGUUUGUAGGACUGAGGUGCCACUCCCUUUGUCUGGUAUUUCUACUCCCCAAAGAACUUAUGCACCCCCUGUGGACCUGUUACUUUCCCUGCUUGGGAUAACAGCUGACUCUGGGUUCAUGCUGUCACUCCCACAGCACGUCUGAUAUCACGCCUGCCCAUAUGGAUUCAAAUUCUCAAUUUCUAUCCAACUGACAUUUUUUUUUUCUUUUCUGCCUACAGAUGGUCAUGUGCAAGCAUGGCUUCAGUAGAUAAUAAGCAAAUAAAAGGUACUCAGUACAGCACCACAUGUAUGUUGACACUUAACAUGCUCUACUGAUGAGGAUGGCAAUGAGGAUGGCAAUGCUGUAAAAGCUUUUCUGUGGUUCUGAGGGGGAUAUAUCAAGUCAGCUACAUAUAGAACAGAGCAGAGCUUAUAGUGAACUUAGCAGAUGAAAAUGGAAGAUUGGAGCUGGCUUGGAGAUCUGGAGCAUGAAAAGAAAUAGCAGGAGAAGGAGCUAAAAUCAGAAGAAGAAAGGCCCUGAGGAAAAAGGUGCACCUGAGAGCUAUGAUAUGAUUACCUCUGGGCCUGGAGCUUCAAGGCCAGGAAAGUUGCAGGUUGAUCUCAUGAGAGAUGCUAUCUUCUUGACCAGCAGUCUGCUCUCCUCAAUCUGCUGUCUUAGGGCACUGUAGUCAUCAAUGUGUCCAAUGACAUGGCGGCCAUGCUUAUUGGCAAAGCAGCCGUCAGUAGCAUCACCUUCCAGCUUGGGAGGGUGAGGGUUCUUCUUCACUGGAGAAGCAUCCAAACCCAGCUCUGAGGAAUAAUACCACAACACAACAGAAUCCACUGUUAUUCAUAAGCAUAUUCUCAGUUCAAUCCAAAAAGGACAUCAAGUAGUGAGAGAGGCCAGAAACAAGAAAUCUUGACAGUCUUGGAAAGCACAAGUGUGAAGUCCAUAGAUACUCUGGGUUUUAUAUUCUAUAAUCUUUCUUAUAUCACCUCAUGAUGAUAGAUUGCCAGGAGGCAGCUUUUAUCCUUAUCGACCAAUAAAAUAUUCAGGGCAGAUAUUAUUAAUAAAAACUUUUAAAUUUGGGGGUUGAGAAGGCCCAGACAAGGAAAUUAAGUUGGAUAGAGAGCACUUUUAAGAAGGCAGAGAUUAUAGUGCAAUGAGGCAGUACCAGAGCAAUAGGAAAGCCAUAGGAGAAAGAAAAAUGACAAAAAAAGGCAGCCACAGAAGGUGCAAUAAGUAGGGCUAAGGGCCUUGGGACAUGCAGAAAAAACUCUCUAAAUUCAGAUAAUGUACAUAUAGAGAGCCAACUAUUAGUUGCAUCAAUAACUUUCCAUCACUAGACCCUGAGCCCUGUAGUUGCGCUGUUUACCAUUUGUCCUAUUGAAGGUUGUGGUCUCUGAGCCAGGAGGAGCAGAAGAAGAGCUGGGGAAGACCAGAGCUGGAGAAUUCAUGCCCACAUCCCGAACUGGAGGGGAGGCAACUGAAUCUAGCAAGUAAAGAUAAUCACAGCUUUAGGAACCCUGGAAAAUGCUGCUCCCCAAACGCAUGCACAGCUUAGGCUUUGCCAUUGGAAAUCUAAGUCCUGCAGGCUAGAGAGCAGGGUCUUCAAGACAGGAGGUCAGAACUGAACUCAAGAAGGGCCGAGGCUGAGGGAGGAGGAGAUAUGAUGACUUCCACACUCAGGGAUCAAAGAGGGGAGGAGGAAGACGCCAUCAGCUCUUUAGGCAGCAGAUGAUGACAUGACCAGGACCGUUCUUUGCACUUCUUUGUGAAAAAAAAAAAAAUUAUUGCAUGAUCUGGACUUUCAUCCAGAGGGUGAUUGACGUGGCCAGGCAAGAAGGGGCCCAACACUGAACACUCGUGGCAGCUAUUGACACUCACCUCUGGAAACGUGACCCAGCUGAGCCUGAAGGCUCUGGUUCUCAUUGUAGAGCUGAGGUGUGGACUCCAGGCCCGGAUUGGAGAAGGUCGAGGGGAAUCCCGACCCAGAACAUGCAAGAAGGCAGGUUACACAGGAGCAAGUGGAGGAAAGCAGACCUCAGUGCUCUGCCAUCUGUGAAGCUCAGCCUAAGGGUGACCUUCAGAAGCCCCCUCAUUGUGACCAGGAGUGGGAAGCCCUGGGCCUCUCCUUCCUGUUCAGGGGGCAGUGGAGCUAAGCCUGUGUUGCAGCUGCUCCCUCAGGUGGUCAUGAAUACAAUGGACUCCUCCAGGCGCUGGCAAAGGUUCCAGAUUUCACCAAGAUGCUCCUGUGGCAGGAGCCUGAACUGAGUCCACACACUGAACUCACAGACCUGCAGGAGGAGAUGGAAGAAAGAAAAUCAACAGGUUUUGAGGAUGAGAAGAACCCAAGUAAUGGCAGAGGAGGUGCUUUGCAAGAGAGAUUGCUGCAGUGGCAUCCAGGACUGUCAGUGGAAGUGGGGAAUGACAUGACACCACCUUUCGGACACCCAACUGGCAAGAGGCCACGCAGUCCAAGAAUUGGUCGCAGACUUGAAGAAACUCUUCCAGAACAAGAUACAUAAAUGGGCCACAAGAACAUAAAAAGAUAAUCAACUCAGUGUCAGUGAUCAGAGAAACAAAUUAAAACUACAGUGAGUUCCGAUUAUAUAUUCAUUACCAUGGUUAAAUUUAAAGAGAUUGAAAAUACCACAUGUGGUAAAGGGGUAAAGCCACCAGAUGUUUCUUACACUUGGGGGAAUGAGUAGUCAUUCAGGCACUUUGAAAAGCUGAAUGACAGUUGGAGCACACACCCAUCAUGUGAGCAGCCUUUCCAUUCCUAGGUGUUUACAGAGUAUGUCCCCAUAACAACCUGCACAUGAAUAUCCAUAGUGAGUUUCUUCAAAAGAACUGAACUCUGGAAACUACAGGGACAUCCAUUAGUUGGUGAAUGUAUGAACUGACACAAAGUAUCGAUAUAAAGGAAUAGUGCUUAGCAAAAAAAUGUGCAAGCACUGCUGUUGCUUGUAAGAUGGUGGAGAUUCUCUGAAUCAAGCUGCAUGGAGGCAGGCAGACAGGAAAGAGUCCGUGCGUAGUUCCAUUUAUAAGGGUGCUAAAGAUGCAAAUUCAUCUCUCAUGGCAGUGGUUGCCUGGGGCUGAGGGUUGAGGGAGUGAAGGAAAGCAAAGGGGUCCAAAGGUUGUGAGGACAUGGACACACCGUGUAUCAGAUGGUAGCUGUAGUUUUCAUAGUGUAACCAGCUAUCGAAGUGCACUUGAUUGUAUACUCUAAAGUGACAUAGUGUGUUGUGUCUGAAUUAUACCUCAAGAGAAUUCAUAUAACAGUGUAUUGUAUUCCUCCAGAAUAUAGGAAUGUUCACUAAAUAGCAGUGAAUAUUUAGCAAAUGAAAUUCAAUAGAACACACUGGAGAUUCCCAUCCUUAAUCAUUAAAUGUUUAAGAACAUAUGCACUGAAGACUCCUGAAAACUCUUGCCGAGGACAUUAAAGAGCUAAAUAGGAGGUCCUGCCAUGGCCCAGUGUGUUAAGACUCUGACCGCAGCGGCCAGGUUGCUGCGGAGCUUCAGGGUCAAUGCCAGCCUGGCUGCAGUGGGUUAAAGGAUCUGGCACUGGCACAGCUGCACCUUGAAGUCAAUCCCUGGCCCACAAACAGCCCUAUGGCAUGGGUGUGGCCAUUAAAUUUAAGAAGACCUAAAUAAAUAUAUAUAAUAUACAUAUCAUAUUCAAAGAUUGAAACUCCUAAUAUUGUUUGAAUGUGAAAUCAACAUUAUUUGAAAUCAUAUUGCCCCAGGCAUUCCGGGGAUAAUUUGCAAACUCCUUAUAAAACAUAUAUGGAAACCACGGUACCUGGAUUGGCCCAUCAACUGUGGAGAGGCAUUAAGUUAGAGGCCUUACUCUAGGAGAUUUCCAAAGUCAUGUUGAAACCAUAGCCAUGAGGCGUUCCUGUUGUGUCUCAGCGGGUUAAGAACUCGACAUUUUCUCUGGGAGGAUGUAGGUUUGAUCUGUGACCUAGCUCAGUGGGUUGAGGAUCCAGCCUUUCCAUAAGCUGCAGCAUAGGCUUCAGAUAGGACUCAGACCCAGGUUUGCCCUGGCUGUGGGGUAGGCCUGCAGCAGCCCAUUUGACCCCUAGCCGAGAAACUUCCCUGUGCCACAGGUGUGCCCGUAAAAACCAUAAUAAUGUAAACAUUGUAGUAUUGGUCCAAGUAAAGACAACACAGCGAUAACAGUGAGACAAGAUUGGGGAAUAGAAAAUUGACCCGCACCCAUGUGCAAUUAAUUUGAACUUUGCCUCACUGAGGUAAUGAAAAGUAUUUUCUAAAAAAAUCCUAGAACAAAUGACUCUUCACUUAGAAUAAGCUAAUACUAAAAGCCACUUUUCUCUGCCCUCUAAAGGUAAUUGGAGAUGUUUCACUGAAAUUUCAAAGCUUUUCACAAAUAGUGGAACUAUUUUCUCAAUUAAGGCAUAGACAGAAAUUUCAUUCUCCUUCUAAAAUGAAGGUGUUCGCUAUGGGCUAAAAAAAUGAUUCAGCUGAGUUAUAUAAAACAUGAAAUUUUGAAGGUCAUCAUACAUUACCAUUUUAAAAGUGACAAGGCAGUCCAUUGACCAGCAGUCUAUUUUAUUUACCACGCAUAUAUCUGACAAGGAAUUUCUCCAAAAUAUAUGAAGAACUUUUACACAUCACGCAAGAAAUUAUAGACACCGUAAAUUCUGAAUUAGCAGAAGAUUUGAAGAGUCACUUUAGAGUAGAAGAUGUCCAAAAUGACAUCCUGGAUACCCAAAUGGGAAAGCACGGCAGAUCUCAGAAUGGCUGCAAUGAAGGUUUGUCGGAAUGGAGGGAGCCUGGAACUGGCCUGUCUUGGGGGGCAGGGUAGGGAAUG